UACGUAGGGUGCGAGGUUUGUCCGGAAUUACUGGGCGUAAAGAGCUCGUAGGUGGUUUGUCGCGUUGUUCGUGAAAUCUCACGGCUUAACUGUGAGCGUGCGGGCGAUACGGGCAGACUUGAGUUCGGUAGGGGAGACUGGAAUUCCUGGUGUAGCGGUGAAAUGCGCAGAUAUCAGGAGGAACACCGGUGGCGAAGGCGGGUCUCUGGGCCGAUACUGACGCUGAGGAGCGAAAGCGUGGGGAGCGAACAGG
rnacentral:rRNA from 1 species